rnacentral:misc_RNA from 1 species
UGGUUCUGGCAUCGAUGAAGAACGCAGCGAAAUGCGAUAAGUAGUGUGAAUUGCAGAAUUCCGUGAAUCAUCGAAUCUUUGAACGCACAUUGCGCCCUUUGGUAUUCCUUAGGGCAUGCCUGUUCGAGCGUCAUUCCAAACCCUCAAGCCCAGCUUGGUGAUGGGCGGACUGUCCCCGGCGCCCCAGAGCGCGGGGACCCGCCUCAAACUCAUUGGCGGCUGGCACACCGGCUUCGAUCGCAGCAGAAAGCGCCUCGGAGGACGACGUGUGCCCGGCUAUCCAGAAGCUAAACCCCACUGUUUGACCUCGGAUCAGGUAGGGAUACCCGCUGA